rnacentral:lncRNA from 1 species
CAGAUCAUGCCUCUAAUCUCCUAUUCAAAGUUGGGAGCAUCCUCAGCCGUUGGAUCACACAAUAGAUGGAAUCUGGGUCGUCAGAUCGUGCCCAAGAAUCCUUAUUACACUUGAGAAUACUAUCAGCCAUUCAAUCUGGGUUGGGAUGAAUGUGGAUCGUCGGAUCACACAAAAUCAUCUCCACCUACCAUGGACUGUGCCUGUGGACUGUGAAAUAUUUUCAAUGGACUGCACCCUGACUUUGUGGACCGAGCGACUGAUCCACCAUGCACCGAAGGCUAUAAAAAUUAUUUUUAUAAUAUUUUUACUCAUUUUUUGCUCUAAUUUUUACCUAAAAAAUUAAAAAAAUAUACAUUAAAUUUUUUAUUAAUUUUUGAAUAUUUUGAUGCUUAAAUUUUUAAUUAAAUCAACAUCAAUUUUUCAUAAAUAUGCUCUAAUUUUAUAUUUUUUUAAAAUUAUUUAUUUUUAUAAAAAAAUCUAAUUUAUUUAUGAAAUUAAGUUUUUAAGAAUAUGUUUACACAAUAAAUUAUCAAAAAUAUCUUCAAUAAAUAUAAAAAUAUAUCACUUAUCAGUGUGACC